GAUGAACGCUGGCGGCGUGCCUAAUACAUGCAAGUCGAGCGAACAAACGAUGAGCUUGCUCCUCUGACGUUAGCGGCGGACGGGUGAGUAACACGUGGAUAACCUACUUAUAAGACUGGGAUAACUACGGGAAACCGGUUCUAAUACCGGAUAAUAUAUUGAACCGCAUGGUUCAAUAGUGAAAGACGGUUUUGCUGUCACUUAUAGAUGGAUUCGCGCCGGAUUAGCUAGUUGGUAAGGUAACGGCUUACCAAGGCGACGAUGCGUAGCCGACCUGAGAGGAUGAUCAGCCACACUGGAACUGAGACACGGUCCAGACUCCUACGGGAGGCAGCAGUAGGGAAUCUUCCGCAAUGGGCGAAAGCCUGACGGAGCAACGCCGCGUGAGUGAUGAAGGUCUUCGGAUCGUAAAACUCUGUUAUUGGGGAAGAACAAAUGUGUAAGUAACUAUGCACGUCUUGACGGUACCUAAUCAGAAAGCCACGGCUAACUUCGUG
rnacentral:rRNA from 1 species